GAUCCUGGCUCAGAGCGAACGCUGGCGGCAGGCUUAACACAUGCAAGUCGAACGGGCACUUCGGUGCUAGUGGCAGACGGGUGAGUAACACGUGGGAACGUACCUUUCGGUUCGGAAUAAUUCAGGGAAACUUGGACUAAUACCGGAUACGCCCUUCGGGGAAGGAUUAUCGCCGAUAGAUCGGCCCGCGUCUGAUUAGCUAGUUGGUGAGGUAAUGGCUCACCAAGGCGACGAUCAGUAGCUGGU
rnacentral:rRNA from 1 species